rnacentral:rRNA from 1 species
GACAGAGGGUGCAACGUUGUUCGGAAUUACUGAGCGUAAAGCGCGUAUAGGCAGCUAAGUAAGUCGGGCGUGAAAUCCACACUCAACCGUGGAAGUGCACUCGAACUGACAUGAACUGGAGUCCUGGAGAGGAAGGUGGAAUGCGUUAGUGUAGAGGUGAAAUUCAUAGAUAUCGAAGCGGAACACCAAUGGCCGAAGGCG